GGGUUGUGAGGUUAAGCGACUAAGCGUACACGGUGGAUGCCCUGGCAGUCAGAGGCGAUGAAGGACGUGCUAAUCUGCGAAAAGCGUCGGUAAGGUGAUAUGAACCGUUAUAACCGGCGAUGUCCGAAUGGGGAAACCCAGUGUGAUUCGUCACACUAUCGUUAACUGAAUACAUAGGUUAACGAGGCGAACCGGGGGAACUGAAACAUCUAAGUACCCCGAGGAAAAGAAAUCAACCGAGAUUCCCCCAGUAGCGGCGAGCGAACGGGGAGCAGCCCAGAGUCUGAAUCAGCUUGUGUGUUAGUGGAACGGUCUGGAAAGUCCGACGGUACAGGGUGAUAGUCCCGUACACCAAAAUGCACAGGCUGUGAACUCGAAGAGUAGGGCGGGACACGUGGUAUCCUGUCUGAAUAUGGGGGGACCAUCCUCCAAGGCUAAAUACUCCUGACUGACCGAUAGUGAACCAGUACCGUGAGGGAAAGGCGAAAAGAACCCCGGCGAGGGGAGUGAAAAAGAACCUGAAACCGUGUACGUACAAGCAGUGGGAGCACCUUCGGGUGUGACUGCGUACCUUUUGUAUAAUGGGUCAGCGACUUAUAUUCUGUAGCAAGGUUAACCGUAUAGGGGAGCCGCAGGGAAACCGAGUCUUAACUGGGCGUUAAGUUGCAGGGUAUAGACCCGAAACCCGGUGAUCUAGCCAUGGGCAGGUUGAAGGUUGGGUAACACUAACUGGAGGACCGAACCGACUAAUGUUGAAAAAUUAGCGGAUGACUUGUGGCUGGGGGUGAAAGGCCAAUCAAACCGGGAGAUAGCUGGUUCUCCCCGAAAGCUAUUUAGGUAGCGCCUCGUGAACUCAUCUUCGGGGGUAGAGCACUGUUUCGGCUAGGGGGUCAUCCCGACUUACCAACCCGAUGCAAACUACGAAUACCGAAGAAUGUUAUCACGGGAGACACACGGCGGGUGCUAACGUCCGUCGUGAAGAGGGAAACAACCCAGACCGCCAGCUAAGGUCCCAAAGUCAUGGUUAAGUGGGAAACGAUGUGGGAAGGCACAGACAGCCAGGAUGUUGGCUUAGAAGCAGCCAUCAUUUAAAGAAAGCGUAAUAGCUCACUGGUCGAGUCGGCCUGCGCGGAAGAUGUAACGGGGCUAAACCAUGCACCGAAGCUGCGGCAGCGACACUAUGUGUUGUUGGGUAGGGGAGCGUUCUGUAAGCCUGCGAAGGUGACCUGUGAGGGUUGCUGGAGGUAUCAGAAGUGCGAAUGCUGACAUAAGUAACGAUAAAGCGGGUGAAAAGCCCGCUCGCCGGAAGACCAAGGGUUCCUGUCCAACGUUAAUCGGGGCAGGGUGAGUCGACCCCUAAGGCGAGGCCGAAAGGCGUAGUCGAUGGGAAACAGGUUAAUAUUCCUGUACUUGGUGUUACUGCGAAGGGGGGACGGAGAAGGCUAUGUUAGCCGGGCGACGGUUGUCCCGGUUUAAGCAUGUAGGCUGAUUGUCCAGGCAAAUCCGGAUAAUCAAGGCUGAGGUGUGAUGACGAGGCACUACGGUGCUGAAGUAACAAAUGCCCUGCUUCCGGUGAAAAGCCUCUAAGCAUCAGGUAACAUCAAAUCGUACCCCAAACCGACACAGGUGGUCAGGUAGAGAAUACCAAGGCGCUUGAGAGAACUCGGGUGAAGGAACUAGGCAAAAUGGUGCCGUAACUUCGGGAGAAGGCACGCUGGUGUGUAGGUGAAGCCCCUGCGGGUGGAGCUGAGACCAGUCGAAGAUACCAGCUGGCUGCAACUGUUUAUUAAAAACACAGCACUGUGCAAACACGAAAGUGGACGUAUACGGUGUGACGCCUGCCCGGUGCCGGAAGGUUAAUUGAUGGGGUUAUCCGUAAGGAGAAGCUCUUGAUCGAAGCCCCGGUAAACGGCGGCCGUAACUAUAACGGUCCUAAGGUAGCGAAAUUCCUUGUCGGGUAAGUUCCGACCUGCACGAAUGGCGUAAUGAUGGCCAGGCUGUCUCCACCCGAGACUCAGUGAAAUUGAACUCGCUGUGAAGAUGCAGUGUACCCGCGGCAAGACGGAAAGACCCCGUGAACCUUUACUAUAGCUUGACACUGAACAUUGAGCCUUGAUGUGUAGGAUAGGUGGGAGGCUUUGAAGCGUGGACGCCAGUCUGCGUGGAGCCAACCUUGAAAUACCACCCUUUAAUGUUUGAUGUUCUAACGUUGGCCCCUUACCGGGGUUGCGGACAGUGUCUGGUGGGUAGUUUGACUGGGGCGGUCUCCUCCCAAAGCGUAACGGAGGAGCACGAAGGUUAGCUAAUCCUGGUCGGACAUCAGGAGGUUAGUGCAAUGGCAUAAGCUAGCUUGACUGCGAGCGUGACGGCGCGAGCAGGUGCGAAAGCAGGUCAUAGUGAUCCGGUGGUUCUGAAUGGAAGGGCCAUCGCUCAACGGAUAAAAGGUACUCCGGGGAUAACAGGCUGAUACCGCCCAAGAGUUCAUAUCGACGGCGGUGUUUGGCACCUCGAUGUCGGCUCAUCACAUCCUGGGGCUGAAGUAGGUCCCAAGGGUAUGGCUGUUCGCCAUUUAAAGUGGUACGCGAGCUGGGUUUAGAACGUCGUGAGACAGUUCGGUCCCUAUCUGCCGUGGGCGCUGGAGAAUUGAGGGGGGCUGCUCCUAGUACGAGAGGACCGGAGUGGACGCAUCACUGGUGUUCGGGUUGUCAUGCCAAUGGCACUGCCCGGUAGCUAAAUGCGGAAGAGAUAAGUGCUGAAAGCAUCUAAGCACGAAACUUGCCCCGAGAUGAGUUCUCCCUGAGACUUUAAGUCUCCUGAAGGAACGUUGAAGACGACGACGUUGAUAGGCCGGGUGUGUAAGCGCAGCGAUGCGUUGAGCUAACCGGUACUAAUGAACCGUGAGGCUUAACCUUACAACGCCGAAG
rnacentral:rRNA from 1 species